rnacentral:rRNA from 1 species
UAAUACAUGCAAGUCGAACGCUUCUUUUCCCACCGGAGCUUGCUCCACCGGGAAAAGAGGAGUGGCGAACGGGUGAGUAACACGUGGGUAACCUGCCCAUCAGAAGGGGAUAACACUUGGAAACAGGUGCUAAUACCGUAUAACAAUCGAAACCGCAUGGUUUCGUUUUGAAAGGCGCUUUACGGUGCCGCUGAUGGAUGGACCCGCGGUGCAUUAGCUAGUUGGUGAGGUAACGGCUCACCAAGGCCACGAUGCAUAGCCGACCUGAGAGGGUGAUCGGCCACAUUGGGACUGAGACACGGCCCAAACUCCUACGGGAGGCAGCAGUAGGGAAUCUUCGGCAAUGGACGAAAGUCUGACCGAGCAACGCCGCGUGAGUGAAGAAGGUUUUCGGAUCGUAAAACUCUGUUGUUAGAGAAGAACAAGGGUGAGAGUAACUGUUCACCCCUUGACGGUAUCUAACCAGAAAGCCACGGCUAACUACGUGCCAGCAGCCGCGGUAAUACGUAGGUGGCAAGCGUUGUCCGGAUUUAUUGGGCGUAAAGCGAGCGCAGGCGGUUUCUUAAGUCUGAUGUGAAAGCCCCCGGCUCAACCGGGGAGGGUCAUUGGAAACUGGGAGACUUGAGUGCAGAAGAGGAGAGUGGAAUUCCAUGUGUAGCGGUGAAAUGCGUAGAUAUAUGGAGGAACACCAGUGGCGAAGGCGGCUCUCUGGUCUGUAACUGACGCUGAGGCUCGAAAGCGUGGGGAGCAAACAGGAUUAGAUACCCUGGUAGUCCACGCCGUAAACGAUGAGUGCUAAGUGUUGGAGGGUUUCCGCCCUUCAGUGCUGCAGCUAACGCAUUAAGCACUCCGCCUGGGGAGUACGACCGCAAGGUUGAAACUCAAAGGAAUUGACGGGGGCCCGCACAAGCGGUGGAGCAUGUGGUUUAAUUCGAAGCAACGCGAAGAACCUUACCAGGUCUUGACAUCCUUUGACCACUCUAGAGAUAGAGCUUCCCCUUCGGGGGCAAAGUGACAGGUGGUGCAUGGUUGUCGUCAGCUCGUGUCGUGAGAUGUUGGGUUAAGUCCCGCAACGAGCGCAACCCUUAUUGUUAGUUGCCAUCAUUUAGUUGGGCACUCUAGCAAGACUGCCGGUGACAAACCGGAGGAAGGUGGGGAUGACGUCAAAUCAUCAUGCCCCUUAUGACCUGGGCUACACACGUGCUACAAUGGGAAGUACAACGAGUCGCGAAGUCGCGAGGCUAAGCUAAUCUCUUAAAGCUUCUCUCAGUUCGGAUUGUAGGCUGCAACUCGCCUACAUGAAGCCGGAAUCGCUAGUAAUCGCGGAUCAGCACGCCGCGGUGAAUACGUUCCCGGGCCUUGUACACACCGCCCGUCACACCACGAGAGUUUGUAACACCCGAAGUCGGUGAGGUAACCUUUUUGGAGCCAG